CAACCUUCUGAAUUGACCUAAUGACACAAGGUCCUCAAUCAGCCUUCUGAAUUGACCUAGUGACACCAGAACACAAGGUCCUCAAUCAGCCUUCUGAAUUGACCUAAUGACACAAGGUCCUCAAUCAGCCUUCUGAAUUGACCUAGUGACACCAGAACACAAGGUCCUCAAUCAACCUUCUGAAUUGACCUAGUGACACCAGAACACAAGGUCCUCAAUCAACCUUCUGAAUUGACCUAGUGACACCAGAACAUAAGGUCCUCAAUCAACCUUCUGAAUUGACCUAGUGACACCAGAACAUAAGGUCCUCAAUCAACCUUCUGAAUUGACCUAGUGACACCAGAACAUAAGGUCCUCAAUCAACCUUCUGAAUUGACCUAGUGACACCAGAACAUAAGGUCCUCAAUCAACCUUCUGAAUUGACCUAGUGACACCAGAACACAAGGUCCUCAAUCAACCUUCUGAAUUGACCUAGUGACACCAGAACACAAGGUCCUCAAUCAACCUUCUGAAUUGACCUAGUGACACCAGAACAUAAGGUCCUCAAUCAACCUUCUGAAUUGACCUAGUGACACCAGAACAUAAGGUCCUCAAUCAGCCUUCUGAAUUGACCUAGUGACACCAGAACAUAAGGUCCUCAAUCAGCCUUCUGAAUUGACCUAGUGACACCAGAACACAAGGUCCUCAAUCAACCUUCUGAAUUGACCUAGUGACACCAGAACACAAGGUCCUCAAUCAGCCUUCUGAAUUGACCUAGUGACACCAGAACAUAAGGUCCUCAAUCAGCCUUCUGAAUUGACCUAAUGACACCAGAACAUAAGGUCCUCAAUCAGCCUUCUGAAUUGACCUAGUGACACCAGAACACAAGGUCCUCAAUCAACCUUCUGAAUUGACCUAGUGACACCAGAACACAAGGUCCUCAAUCAGCCUUCUGAAUUGACCUAGUGACACCAGAACAUAAGGUCCUCAAUCAGCCUUCUGAAUUGACCUAAUGACACCAGAACACAAGGUCCUCAAUCAACCUUCUGAAUUGACCUAGUGACACCAGAACACAAGGUCCUCAAUCAGCCUUCUGAAUUGACCUAGUGACACCAGAACAUAAGGUCCUCAAUCAGCCUUCUGAAUUGACCUAAUGACACCAGAACACAAGGUCCUCAAUCAGCCUUCUGAAUUGACCUAGUGACACCAGAACAUAAGGUCCUCAAUCAGCCUUCUGAAUUGACCUAGUGACACCAGAACAUAAGGUCCUCAAUCAGCCUUCUGAAUUGACCUAGUGACACAAGGUCCUCAAUCAACCUUCUGAAUUGACCUAGUGACACCAGAACAUCACAUUCAUCAGUAAUAAGGUCCCCAAUCAGCCUUCUGAAUUGACCUAGUGACAACAGAACACAAGGUCCUCAAUCAGCCUUCUGAAUUGACCUAGUGACACCAGAACAUCACAUUUAUGAACAUUUAGAAGAUUUUUCCAGAAAUAAGGUACAAGAAACUAAAAAUGGAUUCACCUAAUUCAGUAGAGACAAGGAAUUUAAAAAGUUAGCAAUCCCUGAGACCGGGGGCUGGUAACUCAUAAGUCUACAGUUUAGUAAUGGUGUUAGGUACGGUGGGAGUUUUUGUAAAAAGGCUUUGACAUCAAAGAGGGCAAAACAACUUUCUGGUAGAGAAUGCAGUGAUGAGUACGUCUCCCGUAAUAAAACUAUUGAUAAACUGCAUCUAAUGGCUUUAAUGAAGUGUCAGCUGCUUUCCUAUAGAUGAUGUCACCAUAGUCUAGGACCAAUGGGAACGUCGACUGAAUAAUCUGCCUUCUAUUUAGCAAGGGGCAGGACCUAUUUCUAUAGAGGAAGACCAUUCUUAUUCUCAGCUUUGUAACUAACUAUUAUUUUUUUAUUUUUUUUAUUUGACCUUUAUUUAACUAGGCAAAUCAGUUAAGAACAAAUUCUUAUUUACAAUGAUGGCCUACCGCUGCCAAACCCAGACGACGUUGGGCCAAUUGUACGCCGCCCUACGGGACUCCCAAUCACGGCCGGAUGUGGUGCAGCCUGGAUUCGAACCAGGGACUGCAGUGAUGCCCCUUGCACUGAGAUGCAGUGCCUUAGACUGCUGCGCCACUCAGGAGCCCUAAUCAAUAUGCUUUUUAAAGCCAUAAUCAAUAUGCUUUUUAAAGCCCUAAUCAAUAUGCGUUUUAAAGCCCUUAUCAAUAUGCUUUUUAAAGCCCCAAUCAAUAUGCUUUAUAAAGCCCUAAUCAAUUAGCUUUUUAAAGCCCUAAUCUAUAUGCUUUUUAAAGCCCUAAUCAAUAUGCUUUUUAAAAGACAGAUAUUAAUCUAUCCAGGUGCUCAGAUAUUUAUGAUCAGGGACGUGAUCAAUAUGGUCACCAUCCAAAAUACAUAAUAAAAUAAAUCAUCAGUUCAUUUUGCACUCUAAAGAACAAUAUAUACUUAGUUUUACCUGCAGUCAAUACUAAUUUCAAGUCAAUAAGGUUUUUCUGUAAUUCAAUGAAGACAGACUGUAGUUCAAAUAGAGCCUGGUCUACCAUGGGGGCCAUAGCAUAGACAACAGUGUCAUCGGAAUACAAGUGCAGGUUACAAGUCAAUAUUGUUCAUGUUAACAGUAAAAGGUACAGAACCCAAAAUUGACCCCUGCGGGACACCUUUCGUUGUGUCCAGAAAACCUGAUUUAACACCAUCAGUAGAUACACAUUGAGUUCGAUCUGUAAAGUAAUUUUUAAAGCAGCUACAUGCAGCCUGGUCUAGGCCAAUUUGAAGGGGGCAGGAGUACAAUGAUUCAGCAGGCAGGGGGGCAGGAGUACAAUGAUUCAGCAGGCAGGGGGGCAGGAGUACAAUGAU